rnacentral:lncRNA from 1 species
CAGAGGUGUUGGGAGUAUAGGUUGGAGGAGAGGCUGUUGGAGAUGAAUUUGGGGCAUAUGUAGGAGGUAGGAUGGCCAGGUCUUAGACAUGGCUUGGAUAUGAGGUAUGUGGGAGACAAGAAGCAAAGAGGACACCAUAUUUCAGGCCUGUGCUUUUGAAUCGGCAACAGUGCUCUUUCUAAAGGUAAGAACAUGAGAAAACCUUCAACUCUGGGAGGAUGGGAAAGAUCAUGAGUUUGGUGGUAGAUAUGUGGAUUUGAGGUCUGUCACAUGUGCAGGAGAUGUCAAGUGGGCAGUUGAAUAUUCUUGUCUGGAGCUCACAGGGGAGUUCUAGGUAAGAGGUAUGAGAGUGGUUCACUAUUUGAAGCUGUGAAUGUGCACGAGGUCUUCCAGGGUAAGAGAGGAUAGGGUGAGAAGCAGAGGGCCUCUGACUGAUAGACAGAGGCACCUUGAGAGACCCAGCUUCAAAGGAUGGGCAGGACUUCCCUGGGCAGGCCACAUACUUGGGGCUGUCUGUGGCUGGGAUGAUUCGUUUAUUCGCUUACUCAAAAACUAUUGAAGACCAAUUCUGUGCCAGGUAUAUUGUGGGUGCUGGGGAUGCAGCCCUGAUGUUCAGGUCCACAGCCCUGGGGUCUGUGGGACAGUGGGGUCCUGUCCCUGUCC